AACUGCUUUUUAGGGGAAUAAAGAGAGGCACGCGUGCCCUGUUGCAUGUACCCUUGGAAUAAGGACCGGCUAAUUCCGUGCCAGCAGCCGCGGUAAUACGGAAGGUCCAGGUGUUAUCCGGAUUUAUUGGGUUUAAAGGGAGCGUAGGCCGCAGGUUAAGUGUGUUGUGAAAAGCAGUCGCCCAACGUCUGCCUUGCAGCGCAAACUGUCCUGCUUGAGUGCGCACAACGCAGGCGGAAUUCGUCGUGUAGCGGUGAAAUGCUUAGAUAUGACGAAGAACUCCGAUUGCGAAGGCAGCUUGCGGGAGCGCAACUGACGCUGAAGCUCGAAAGUGCGGGUAUCGAACAGGAUUAGAUACCCUGGUAGUCC
rnacentral:rRNA from 1 species